UGUAGAAGUGAUUCAGCAAUUUCUGAUGUAUAAUUAAGUUUAGUUUUCAUUUGCCAGUCACUAGCGUCGAGUUAUUAUUCAACUAUUCAAGCACUAUGGCAUUGACUAAAGAUAUACGAAGACGUAUCUCCGCACAAAUUCCGGUUCUCAUUCGUUAAACGCGCUAGAUUCAUCGAUUCUUUCAUCACAGCGUAGGUACUUGGAUACAACUUGAAAUAAUGCAUGUGGAAUUACAGUGGAACCUCGGCUAUCGGAAUCUCGACUAUCGCGAAAAACCGCGUUUUACAAUCUUGGUCUUGUAAUCAGUUACCGCUUCCUUCGAACCCACACAACUGCACUUGCGUUGACAACUCGUCGUUCAGAAUUUGAUAGUGAUUGAAGGUAGAGACGGAACAGAGCUUCCUGAAACUUCGAGUGUAUUUGAACACAUAUUUGAAAGGUACGAGCAAUAAUUCGUAUCGUCCAACUGUCGCAAAACGGCAGCGUUAUUAACUGACCCGUUAACUCAAGAACAUAUCUUUAGUUAAAGGCUGACCAUCGAAGGGCCUAGCCGCUUGAAUCCGGAAUCGGCAGGAGAAAUAAAAAUUCCUCAGUCUGGAAACAGCCGCGCAGUAGAGCGGACGGAUG
rnacentral:lncRNA from 1 species